GAUGGCAUAGCUCAGUGGUGGAGUGCGUGCUUAGCAUGAAGAAGGUCCUGGAUUCAAUCCCCAGUACCUUCA
rnacentral:tRNA from 1 species